rnacentral:lncRNA from 1 species
AAUUUUUGAGGUGCGCACUAAUUUGAUUGUUUAGAGCUUUGGCUCUAUAUAAACUUUUUCCUUUAGUAAUUAAUUCGAGGAUAUUUUAUUUCGAUAUAUGGCCCCAAGAUCAAGCCCUAAUGUCAAUGUACAAUAUUUGGGUUAAGAGAGACAUUAUGUUUAGAGAAGAAUUCAUAUCAAUCGAUUUCAAAAAUCGAGUGUGAAUUUUCUUUAACAAGGGGAUAAUGAAGAAAAUUAAGAUAUGGGUAAUUCAAAAAUUUUAUUUUAUUUUUAUUUGGAUUUCCAUAGAUGUGG